rnacentral:tRNA from 1 species
AUUUAAAUAGCUUAAGUUAAAGAGUGUAAUAUUGAAGCUAUUAAGGUGAUAAUUUUAUCUUUAAAUAA